rnacentral:lncRNA from 1 species
AUCAUUUGUUUCUCUCACAGUCCGAAUAUCGUUCUUUUUCACCAUCAUGCCACUUUCCAUUCUGAGGUCCAUGCUGUCAAAGGUGGUCCACUCAACGGAACAAGGUGUGCUGUUUGCUUGCAUAGCUUUCUUAGAAACGCUUGGCGGCGUCACUUCGACCUCGGCGUAUAAUGGGAUUUAUUCAGCCACUGUUGCCUGGUACCCUGGGUUCGUCUUCCUGCUG